GCCCCGAUGGCACAGAUGGAUAGCGCAAUCCCCUCCUAAGGGAUAGGUCGCAGGUUCGAAUCCUGCUCGGGGCG
rnacentral:tRNA from 1 species